AUCCUUCGGUUCAUGCGUAUGAUGAUCGGUGUGAUCACGGCCAAUCCGUGACAGGUGCGACCCUCACCUUGUUACGCAUCGCGCCUCAGCCCGUCUGACU